GGAAGCCAGGGUUGCUGCAUAAUCCCAUGACUUCCAGCACUGGGACUUUUAAGACAAGCAGCAAAUAUGGAACACACAGAAGUGAUGGAAGCAGAAAGAAGGAUGGAUGGGGAUUUAAGGACACAAAUUUGUCACCACUGCUGAGUCUGCCUGCUUUAGUACAGCUGACACCUAACAGCAGGGAGUCUGGUAGGAGAGGCAACAGGGAGGCAUUAAAGGAAUGGCUCAGGCCUGGCCUGUGGUAGGAUCCAAGGAAUGACACUGAGAAGGUUCCAGGAGAGACUUGUUCUGCUGCACAGCUGGAGCCUACCUUCCCACCCAUCCUCCCCACCAAACCCAGUAGCUGGACAUGAUCCAUGUGUGCAGUGAACGGAGAAAGUCAACACCAGCCAAGCUUCUAUUGUGUGCACUUUUAUUUGAACUGGUCUUAAGUCAGUGUACAGGUAGCCCCUUCCCUCCCCUACAUACUGGCACCACUUCUCAUUGGACGCUCAAGGGGCACUGUAAAGCCUUCAUUCACAUCUAUAAUUGGGGAACACAGCCCAUUUGCUUGACAAAAAUCAAAGAAAGGAUCAAGUGUGUUUUGUUUUAAGGCGGCAGAUACAAAAAGACACUUGUUGGGUUACAUAAUUUACUGACAAGCAUUACUCUGCUCCUGCGAGCUGGGCUGCUGCCUCCAGAGGCGAGUAACUUCCUGUAACAAUGCAUUAUGCAAUAUUUGGAAUGACUAUUAAAAAACAAAUGUACAAUCAAAGUCCUGAUGCAUUGUAGAACUUUGGGGACGUUCGCGCCAUCAUGUUAAGACUGCUGCUGUCACCUUCACCAUUCCAGUUUUUAAAUCCUGAGUCAAGCGCCAAAAAAAACAAAUAAAGCCAUGCCAAUCUCAUCUUGUUUUAUGCGCAAUUAUGGGUUUUAUCAAAGGUGGGAUGUG